UCCACCCAACUUUCUCCAUCUCUUCUCUAACAUCUAAAAAGAACCAAAUGGCGAAAAAAGUUUCGCUUGUACGUCGUAGCCUCAGCAACCAUCGUCCCGCCGAAAAAAUACAGGGCACCGUCGGAUUGCCUCGAUCUGCCCUAUCCAUUCCCCCCUCAGUCCUUUCCGGCGAUUGCCCCGCCGGCGGUUGCGGUGGGAGGCCAGGAAGGACGCGCCGCCGCCGGACGCCACCCUUCUCCGUUCCAUGGUCAUCGCCACCACCGCCGCCGCUCAUUCUCCAUGGAGGCAGAGGGAGCGGCCCCCGCGAGCAACGGUGAGGCGGCGGUCCGAUCUACAGGAAUUGACGCCUCCUCGUGUCACUCCGCCGUAAGAUCCAAAUGCAGGUCGCUACCCACUUCCUCCAGUCUGCAUUCUGUACAGCGAUCCCUCUCCAAUAUGCAUGACCUUUCCUCCUUGCUUGCACCUGCCUGGUCAACAUUAGUCUACUCUCUGUUGUUGUGCUUUUGCAUAAUUUGUGCAGGAUUAUUUGAGUAUCCCUGGUACGGGACUGCAAGCCUUGUUUUUCUUAGGUAGUUGUAGAGAUUUCCCCUAUGGUUACGUGUUGUUUUAACUGCGGGUCUUGUUUAGCUUUUCGGUAGCUGCUGGAGGGACACACUCAAUGGUUUCAUCCAAGGAGGUCACAUCUGGACAUGAGAGCUGUCAUGGCCUCCUGGCAUAUGUAUGGUCCCUUAUGCUGAAACCUUUGAUUGAUUUGUUUGCUCUGCAUAUCUGCCAUUGAAGCAUGAAAUAAUUUUGGGUGCACCUUCAAUUGUCACUAGCACUCCUUAAGUAGCCAUAGGAUUUGAUUUAUAUUUGGAGCUUAUGAGAUUGGCCUAUUUUCCCUCAAGCGUAUUUCUUUCUAAAAUCGACUGACUUUGAUCUGUACACAACUAUCGUCCUGUAUUUUUCUCCUGCCAUGUUACAAUCGGCAUUGUUAGAAGUGCUAAUUAACCUGUGACGUUUGGUCUAAAUCCUAGAUGGCUGGUAUGGCGCUUUCUGUAGCACUUAUAAUUUUAGGAAGUAUUGAUAAUGAGAGACAGUAAACGAACAUCAUUUUUCCCUUUUACUUUUUAUUGGCUGUUCUUUCUUCAAUUCAGUUGCCAUCAGCAUAUGUUUUCUUUAUCAGGAUAAAGCUCUGGGUGCAUCAGUGAUAAGGUAAGCUAUUCAUAACUAAAUACGUUCUAUUCAACCAGUCUAGGCACAUAUAUUGCUCAGGAUUUAAACUUGCAUUCAAUUCAAAACUUAAAUAGCUUAACAGUUCAUGUUUAUCAUAUGCACCUACUGUCUAUAGUUUUGCAAACAGGUAGACUAAGGUAUUAAAGAGAAUCGCAAGCUUCAUGAAAAUGGGAUGGUGAGAGCCUCUCAUUAUAGAUGAUGCAGCAAAUGACCUUGGGCAUAUCAAAUUUCUCACAUCUUGAAUUUUCAUCUGUGUGAAAAUAUAGUCGUAGUUGUGGGUUUUGAUCCCUAUGUGUUAGCUGCUUACUGUAAUCGAGUUUUGCAAAGAAAAACCAUAAUUAAUUCGUCAAUCAAUUUCAUAUAUAGAAAACCGUAAUUGAUUCGUCAAUCAAUUUCAUAUAUAGAAAAACCGUAAUUGAUUUGCCAAUCAAUUUCAUAUAUAUUUGCAUCAUAUAGCUUUUGUCCGAGUAUAACCAUGAAGAAAUAUUAGAAUGAAAUUGCAUGUUAUCUUCUUAAGUACACAAUUUCACUGCUUUCAACUGUUCAUAAAGUGCCCCUGCAUGUUGCCUCCCUCAUUCUCAUUUGUUCCAUGUGGCAAUAUCUUUAGACUUUAGACAUUCAGUCAUGCCCAACAGUUAGCUCGAAACAUUCAUUUGCUACAUACUUGUCUGAAUUCUGAAUGACGAAAGAGUUGAGAAUUUUCAUUCUUCUGGGUAUGUACAGAAGUGGAGGGAAAUCACAUCAAAAACUACGCCAUGGAACUUCUAACCGGUCCUUGUGCAUCUUUCUAUCUUUGCUAAUUUCACAACACAUUGUUGGACAGUUAGAAGUUGUCAUGCUAAGUACCACAGUACUCAAAGUAGAACAUUGUUGGAUAUUCCUAUUUCUUUUAGCAGCAAGUACCCUGUGCAACUAAGGAGUUUCGACAUUGGUCUGGGUUCAGUGAUAAAAAGGUAAAAAAAAUGGCACUAUCAAUCUACAGUUGGCCAUAGGUCUUUUUUAGCAAGCUAAUAACAGAUAAAUAGGAUUCUUUUUAGAGUUUUCCUUGAGCAGACAAAAUUAAGGGCUUGUGAUUUUUUUUAAUCUAGAAACAUGGAGCAUGUGACGGACAUAUAUGAUGUGUAGGGAAAAGUAGAUAUACAAUUAGGUGCCUCUGCUAUGUUUGGGCUUUAAACACAAUUUUGGAUUUAACAAUAUACACUUAGGUGCCUCUGCUAUGCUCAUAGAAUCUCCUAAGCAGCUCCUCAUAUUUGCUCUUUAAUUCAUCUUAUGCUGGAUUUGAAUUUGAGUUCUGCUUAUCGUUUAUGGCAUCCAUGGCCAAACGAGACUCAGAAUGCCCAUCAACAGAGGAUCUCUUGUCACCAUCAGGUAGAGUAAAAGAAGUGCCAUCAGCCAUCUUUGACAGCAGUUCUAUUUUUUCAACUAUAUCUCGAGAAUGAAAUUGCUCUGGCAAAUCCAGGUCUUCUGACUUUCUUCGAUUCUCUGAAGAACAGAGUCUUUGAGAAGAAAUGGGUACCUUAGAGCUGUAGCCUGUAGCUGAAUUCCUUAUGUACGAGAGCUCUGAUUCCAAAGCUUCAUUCAAUCUGCUUCUGUACAGGAUUUGAGCUUGGCUUCCAACUCUUUCAGCAAUGUUUCCUUUAACUGCAGUUCUUAUGUGAGCUUCUUGACCUCAACAGACACUUGCUUGAGGCUGUCACGCUGCACUAUAAAACCUUUACCUUUUGCAACAGCAAUACUAAGUUUUUCUUGGCAGAUGAAAGUUUCUGAUCUAACUAUUCGAGUUCAGAAACCUUUUUUUGAAGCUCAGUAUGCGAAGUUUUAAGGGUGUCAUCCAGCUUUUCCAUGCCAUCCCUGAUGACUGGAAUUUCAGUUUCCACCUGAAUGUUUCGUGCAUUGAGCUUGUCGAUUCUGUCUAGCUAUUAGCUCUCCAGGUGGCUUGCCGAGCUUGCCCUGAGGCACAUCCGUCAGUUCGUGCCGCAAACCAUUACUGCUUAGCCAUCCGUCAUAUUUUCUGCUCAAUUAGUCAUUUGUUAUGAAGCAUUUCUGUCAUAUUGCUCGGCUUGCUCUCAGAGCUAAUAGGCAGUGUAAACUUGACCACGAACAAAUUCCUUAGUGUGAAGUUUCUUUAUGUGGUACAAAAUUCUAUUUUUAGAUACAAAUGACAGUUGCUUGAAAGUAUUUUUGGUCAUUUUAUAAUCUGACAGUAGAUUAAACAAGCACAUGAUCUGUCUAUUGGCAAUACAAGUGUUUUUACAAACCAAUUAAUGUCUACUUACGUAAGUUUUCUUCUAUCAACAUGAUCAUAUCAGAAACACCACUACCCGCCUCUCAGUAUAGUGUGAUUAUUGUGCUAAGAUGAUGUCGAAUUUCUGAAGACUGCUAGCCGCCUAACCCUGAACAGGAUCAAGACACGUCUGUUUUAUGUGUAUAUUAUUGGAUGUGUCGAAAUGCAGAAAGUCCAAGCUAUUCCUGCAUGAAGAUGAGACCAAGAGUCAAUUUUCUAGGCGCUCUAAGGAUUAUCUCCUCUUCUAUUGUUCUGUGGAUGCAAAAAUCCUUCAGUUAUGGGAACGCUUGUUCGGUGGAGGAGCUUCGUCAUUUUAUAGGUUCUUUGUACUAUGUGUAUGUCUUUAUUCUCCCUCUCUAAGUCAUGCUAUUUGUUUCUCUGGAUUCAAUGCUCGUGAUUUGAACAUGGAACUUUACAACCUCCCAAAUUGUAUGUUUGCUUGGUUAACCUCCAAAAUUGUCGAAGGUCGGUGAACUUCGAGUGCG